CAGAGAACUUCUCCAGGAUAUCUUGMGGUACCUCCACCGCAUCGGGCUUAUCAUAUGGUAUGAGGAAAUCAAGCAUCUGGAAAACACGGUCUUUCUCCAGCCUACCUUCCUUAUAACUAUGUUCAAGCUCCUUGUAAGGUACCGCCUAGUCCAGCAGCUUGAGAGCAUCUCUGUGGACACGCUCAUAGGGGAACACUCUACCAUCAGGGACAGGUCCAACUGGGUGUGGACCUUCAAGUCGAAGGCGAUGCUGUGCCACCGGGCAGUGCGUGCUUUGGUCAAGUACCAGCUCUAUUCGAAAGGGAUGCAGGACAUCUUUGAGGAAAUAAUGGGACACGAGCCCCACGGAAGGAGAGGGAAACUGUUUAGCCUCCUGGAGCACUUUGAGAUCUGCCUGGAAGUGAGGAAAGCUGAAGCUCUCAACCCAGAGGCCAGUGAGUUUGUGCCUGGGAAGCCAUGGGAGACAGCACGAGGCCAUGGGGAGUCCUGGUACUUGUUCCCAACCUACCUGAACCAGACUGAAGAGGUUUCUGAGGUGUGGGGAGGAGAUCACCCUGAGGACCUCCAUAUCCGGGCCUAUUUCUCACCUGAAAUACCUGAGGGCUUCUUUCAGAGGUUCCUGGUGAAAGCUUGCUCCUUCUACUCCACACACUGGGUGGCCAAGGUGACCUGCCUGCUCAUAUGCAAUGGCAAACCCUUGCUGAUCAAAGAGAAUAACCAGAGGGCCUACAGCUACCUAGAGCUCCGGUGCAGAAAGCCAGCAGAAAGGAUGGAAUUUCGGUCUGCCUGGGACUUCCUCAUAGCCAUCGUGUUCAUCAGCCAGAAGCUUUCGGAGCAGUGGCCAGGGCUGCAUGUCUGUGUGAAGACACCUUGCCGAACUGCUGGGUGUCCCGCGGAGCUUAUGUGGCCGGACAUGGAUGGCAAAAACAUUGUGACGAAGGAAGAAGUUAAAACUUGUGGAACAUGCGGUCAUCGGUUUCGAGCAGAACUGCUCUUACCCAGAGGUGAGGCCAACGUUUGUGGGUUUGGGCUGUAAGAUAGCUAGGGGUGGUGGACAAAAAGUCACUCCUGUGUCCCGUGUGUGGGAAGG
rnacentral:lncRNA from 1 species